rnacentral:misc_RNA from 1 species
GAAGUGCGAUAAGCAAUGCGAAUUGCAGAACCGUGAGUUAUCAGAUUUUUGAACGCAACUGGCGCCGACUGGCUCUCCAGUCGGCAUGCUUGUUUCAGUGUCUCUUUAUCUCAUCACCCAGAUCAUAAUGCGAGAGAUACCCUUCUCUUGCUAAGCAUGAAAGCACUCUGCGCUCUGCGAGCGACUUUGACUAGUUCGAGGUCGCACUCAAUGCAGCAGUCACAUUGCUCACAAUGUGAACUCAUUGAGAGCUGAGGCAGUGCGGUGCAAACCGCCAGUGCUUAGUCACACAAACUUUCUUUGCAUCUGAAAUCAAGCAGGAUCACCCGCUGAACUUAAGC